CCUACGGGUGGCAGCAGUGAGGAAUAUUGGUCAAUGGACGCAAGUCUGAACCAGCCAUGCCGCGUGCAUGAAGACGGCUCUAUGAGUUGUAAACUGCUUUUGUACGGGGGUAAAUCCCGAUACGUGUAUCUGGUUGAACGUAUCGUACGAAUAAGGAUCGGCCAACUCCGUGCCAGCAGCCGCGGUAAUACGGAGGUUUCAAGCGUUAGCCGGAUUUAUUGGGUGUAAAGGGUGCGUAGGCGGUUCGAUAAGUUAGAGGUGAAAUCCCGGGGCUGAACUCCGGCACUGCCUCUGAUACUGUCGGGCUAGAGUUUAGUAGCGGUAGGUGGAAUGUAUGGUGUAGCGGUGAAAUGCAGAGAGAUCA
rnacentral:rRNA from 1 species